rnacentral:rRNA from 1 species
UUAAGUAAGUAAGGGCGUACGGUGGAUGCCUAGGCACUUGAAACUGAAGAAGGACGCAACAAACGGCGAAACGCGACGGGGAGUGGUACGUACACAAAGAUCCGUCGAUAUCCGAAUGGGGAAACCCGUCAUCUGUAAUAGGAUGGCAUCCAUGGAUGAAUCCAUAGUCCAUGAGAGAGGUACCCGGAGAACUGAAACAUCUAAGUACCCGGAGGAAAAGAAAACAAAAGUGAUUUCCUGAGUAGCGGCGAGCGAAAGGGAAGGAGCCCAAACCAUCUCUAGAGAUGGGGUUGUAGGACCACGAUAUGGCAAGAGGAUUGUUAGGAGAACGGCAUUGAAAGGCCGACCGUAGGGGGUGCAAGUCCCGUAUCCGAAAACGAUGCGAAGCCUAGUGGGAUCCUGAGUACGGCGAGACACGAGAAAUCUUGUCGGAAGCAGGCGGGACCAUCCGUCAAGGCUAAAUAUAAACAAGUGACCGAUAGCGAACCAGUACCGUGAGGGAAAGGUGAAAAGAACCGCGGGAGCGGAGUGAAAGAGAACCUGAAACCGUAUGCCUACAAGAAGUCAGAGCCCGUUAAAGGGUGAUGGCGUGCCUUUUGUAGAAUGAACCGGCGAGUUAUGUUAUCGUGCGAGGUUAAGCAGGAGAUGCGGAGCCGAAGCGAAAGCGAGUCUUAAUAGGGCGAGAGUACGAUGACAUAGACCCGAAACCGUGUGAUCUAGCCAUGACCAGGUUGAAGUUCAGGUGAAACUGAAUGGAGGACCGAACCGACCCCCGUUGAAAAGUUGGCGGAUGAGUUGUGGCUAGGGGAGAAAUUCCAAUCGAACACGGAUAUAGCUGGUUCUCCCCGAAAUAGCUUUAGGGCUAGCGUCGAGGCUUAGUCAUGUGGAGGUAGAGCACUGAAUGUACGAUGGCCCCAUCCCGGGGUACUGAGUAUAAUCAAACUCCGAAUGCCAUAAGAUAUGCCCGGCAGUCAGACCGUGGGUGAUAAGGUCCAUGGUCAAAAGGGAAACAGCCCAGACCGCCAGUUAAGGUCCCAAAAUGCAUGCUGAGUGGAAAAGGAUGUGGGGAUGCACAGACAACUAGGAGGUUGGCUCAGAAGCAGCCACCCUUCAAAGAGUGCGUAACAGCUCACUAGUCGAGUGACCCUGCGCCGAAAAUGUACCGGGGCUAAGCAUGCUACCGAAGCUGCGGAUUUGUAGGAAUACAAGUGGUAGGGGAGCGUUCUAUGCAGCGUAGAAGCCAUAUCGUGAGGAGUGGUGGAGCGCAUAGAAGUGAGAAUGCCGGUGUGAGUAGCGAGAUGUAGGUGAGAAUCCUACACACCGAUAGCCCAAGGAUUCCAGGGGAAGGUUCGUCCGCCCUGGGUAAGUCGGGACCUAACGCGAGGCCGAAAGGCGUAGUGGAUGGAAAACAGGCAGAUAUUCCUGUACCCGCGAUGGAAAUGAAGGAAUGACGGAGAAGGUAAGUAUGACCCACUAAAUGGAUUGUGGGCGAAGCGUAUAGCAGGAUGGCAGUGAAAUGCGUCAUCAGGAUGUAAAGCGUGAAAGGUAAGGGAACGCCCAAGGGCAAGUACCGAAGCAUAUGUAGCCAGCUUCCAGGAAAAGUUUCUAGUAUAUUCCAUAGCGGCCCGUACCAAAACCGACACAGGUGGGCAAGGAGAGGAUCCUGAGGUGAGCGAGAGAACUGUUGCCAAGGAACUCGGCAAAAUGACUCCGUAAGUUAGCGAGAAGGAGUGCUUAUGAAAGUAAGCCGCAGUGAAGAGGCCCAAGCGACUGUUUAACUAAAACACAGCUCUCUGCAAAGUCGCAAGACGAAGUAUAGGGGGUGACGCCUGCCCGGUGCUGGAAGGUUAAGAGGAUUUGUCAGUAGCGAUACGAAGCAAUGAAUUGAAGCCCCAGUGAACGGCGGCCGUAACUAUAACGGUCCUAAGGUAGCGAAAUUCCUUGUCAGGUAAG